CCUACGGGAGGCUGCAGUGGGGAAUAUUGGUCAAUGGGCGCAAGCCUGACCCAGCAACGUCGCGUGAAGGAAGAAGGCUCUCGGGUUGUAAACUUUUUUUUACAGGGACGUAGCAAGUGACGCUUCCUGUGUUAUAAGCCUCCGCUAACUACGUGCCAGCAGCCGCGGUAAUACGUAGGUGGCAAGCGUUAUCCGGAUUUACUGGGUGUAAAGGGUGUGUAGGCGGGAAAGCAAGUCAGAUGUGAAAACCAUGGGCUCAACCUGUAGAAUGCCUUUGAAACUGUUUUUCUUGAGUACUGGAGAGGCAGACGGAAUUCCUAGUGUAGCGGUGAAAUGCGUAGAUAUUAGGAGGAACACCAGUGGCGAAGGCGGUCUGCUGGAUAGCAACUGACGCUGAGGCGCGAAAGCGUGGGGAGCAAACAGGAUUAGAUACCCGUGUAGUC
rnacentral:rRNA from 1 species